rnacentral:piRNA from 1 species
UUGAGGCAGUGAGCCAAUGAACCCUAA